GGGUGGGCUGUUGGAACCCUGCCGCUUUGUCUGGUGCGUGGGUUGCUGGCACCUCUCCCUCGACCGAAGUAUAAGACCUUGAGGCAUAUCCACUCCCUCCUAACCACCCUCACGUGUGAAUCAUCGACGGCUGUUGGAUCACUAUGAGUUGUGGGCGAAUCGGGUCGUCGCCGUCGUCAUCGAACCUCACCUCCGUCGCCGCUCAACACAAGUGACUCGAUCCCAGAUGUUCAGACGUAUUUGUGGGUUGUGCUCAGAGAGAAAUCUGGGUGCACGAAGCCUCGGGCGACGUGAAUUGCUCGCCGGACUUCUCCAUCUGCCAUGGAGCCGUCACGUCUCGUGGGUCGACGUCUGCGUUGCCAUACUCUGACGAGCAAGCCACAGAGGAUCCG
rnacentral:lncRNA from 7 species